rnacentral:rRNA from 1 species
AGCCAGUGGUGAACUCCACAUACGCAUCCUUUGCUGAGGAUACGGUUAACGGAGCGAAAGCGACGUUCAACCGCAAAAGAAGCAGAGGGGGCUUAGUGGUGGGGUGACUGCGUACCUUUUGUAUAAUGGGUCAGCGACUUAUAUUCUGUAGCAAGGUUAACCGUAUAGGGGAGCCGGAGGGAAACCGAGUCUUAACCGGGCGUUAAGUUGCAGGGUAUAGACCCGAAACCCGGUGAUCUAGCCAUGGGCAGGUUGAAGGUUGGGUAACACUAACUGGAGGACCGAACCGACUAAUGUUGAAAAAUUAGCGGAUGACCUGUGGCUGGGGGUGAAAGGCCAAUCAAACCGGGAGAUAGCUGGUUCUCCCCGAAAGCUAUUUAGGUAGCGCCUCGUGAAUUCAUCUCCGGGGGUAGAGCACUGUUUCGGCUAGGGGGCCAUCCCGGCUUACCAACCCGAUGCAAACUGCGAAUACCGGAGAAUGUUAUCACGGGAGACACACGGCGGGUGCUAACGUCCGUCGUGAAGAGGGAAACAACCCAGACCGCCAGCUAAGGUCCCAAAGUCAUGGUUAAGUGGGAAACGAUGUGGGAAGGCCCAGACAGCCAGGAUGUUGGCUUAGAAGCAGCCAUCAUUUAAAGAAAGCGUAAUAGCUCACUGGUCGAGUCGGCCUGCGCGGAAGAUGUAACGGGGCUAAACCAUGCACCGAAGCUGCGGCAGCGACGCUUAUGCGUUGUUGGGUAGGGGAGCGUUCUGUAAGCCUGUGAAGGUGUGUCGUGAGGCAUGCUGGAGGUAUCAGAAGUGCGAAUGCUGACAUAAGUAACGAUAAAGCGGGUGAAAAGCCCGCUCGCCGGAAGACCAAGGGUUCCUGUCCAACGUUAAUCGGGGCAGGGUGAGUCGACCCCUAAGGCGAGGCCGAAAGGCGUAGUCGAUGGGAAACGGGUUAAUAUUCCCGUACUUGGUGUUACUGCGAAGGGGGGACGGAGAAGGCUAUGUUGGCCGGGCGACGGUUGUCCCGGUUUAAGCGUGUAGGUGUGUGUUCCAGGUAAAUCCGGUUCACUUUAACACUGAGGCGUGAUGACGAGGCACUACGGUGCUGAAGCAACAAAUGCCCUGCUUCCAGGAAAAGCCUCUAAGCAUCAGGUAACAUCAAAUCGUACCCCAAACCGACACAGGUGGUCAGGUAGAGAAUACCAAGGCGCUUGAGAGAACUCGGGUGAAGGAACUAGGCAAAAUGGUGCCGUAACUUCGGGAGAAGGCACGCUGACACGUAGGUGAAGUGAUUUACUCAUGGAGCUGAAGUCAGUCGAAGAUACCAGCUGGCUGCAACUGUUUAUUAAAAACACAGCACUGUGCAAACACGAAAGUGGACGUAUACGGUGUGACGCCUGCCCGGUGCCGGAAGGUUAAUUGAUGGGGUCAGCGCAAGCGAAGCUCCUGAUCGAAGCCCCGGUAAACGGCGGCCGUAACUAUAACGGUCCUAAGGUAGCGAAAUUCCUUGUCGGGUAAGUUCCGACCUGCACGAAUGGCGUAAUGAUGGCCAGGCUGUCUCCACCCGAGACUCAGUGAAAUUGAACUCGCUGUGAAGAUGCAGUGUACCCGCGGCAAGACGGAAAGACCCCGUGAACCUUUACUAUAGCUUGACACUGAACAUUGAGCCUUGAUGUGUAG